AGAAUACCAAUUGCGAAGGCAGCUUUCUGGAUCAUUACUGACACUGAGGAACGAAAGCAUGGGUAGCGAAGAGGAUUAGAUACCCUCGUAGUCCAUGCCGUAAACGAUGUGUGUUAGACGUUGGAAAUUUAUUUUCAGUGUCGCAGCGAAAGCAAUAAACACACCGCCUGGGGAGUACGACCGCAAGGUUAAAACUCAAAUGAAUUGACGGGGACCCGCACAAGUAGUGGAGCAUGUGGUUUAAUUCGAAGAUACGCGCAGAACCUUACCAACACUUGACAUGUUCGUCGCGACUUUAAGAGAUUAAAGUUUUCGGUUCGGCCGGACGAAACACAGGUGCUGCAUGGCUGUCGUCAGCUCGUGUCGUGAGAUGUUGGGUUAAGUCCCGCAACGAGCGCAACCCUCACUUUUAGUUGCCAUCAUUAAGUUGGGCACUCUGAAAGAACUGCCAGUGAUAAGCUGGAGGAAGGUGGGGAUGACGUCAAGUCCUCAUGGCCCUUACGUGUUGGGCUACACACGUGCUACAAUGAUAUUUACAACAGGAAGCAAAACGGCGACGUUAAGCAAAUCCUCAAAAAAUAUCUCAGUUCGGAUUGCACUCUGCAACUCGAGUGCAUGAAGCUGGAAUUACUAGUAAUCGUGGAUCAGCGUGCCACGGUGAAUGCGUUCCCGGGUCUUGUACACACCGCCCGUCACACCAUGGGAGUUGGUUCUACCUUAAGGCAAGGUUUCAAACCCUUGACCACGGUAUAGUCAGCGACUGGGGUGAAGUCGUAACAAGGUAGCCGUAGGGGAACCUGCGGCUG
rnacentral:rRNA from 1 species